AGAGUUUGAUCCUGGCUCAGAACGAACGCUGGCGGCAGGCCUAACACAUGCAAGUCGAGCGCCCCGCAAGGGGAGCGGCGGACGGGUGAGUAACGCGUGGGAAUUUUCCUCAAGGUACGGAACAACUCAGGGAAACUUGGGCUAAUACCGUAUGAUGUCUAGCGACCAAAGAUUUAUCGCCUUGGGAUAAGCCCGCGUCAGAUUAGGUAGUUGGUGGGGUAACGGCCUACCAAGCCUACGAUCUGUAGCUGGUCUGAGAGGACGAUCAGCCACAUUGGGACUGAGACACGGCCCAAACUCCUACGGGAGGCAGCAGUGGGGAAUCUUGCGCAAUGGGCGAAAGCCUGACGCAGCCAUGCCGCGUGAAUGAUGAAGGUCUUAGGAUUGUAAAGUUCUUUCGCCCGUGACGAUGAUGACGGUAACGGGAGAAGAAGCCCCGGCUAACUUCGUGCCAGCAGCCGCGGUAAUACGAAGGGGGCUAGCGUUGUUCGGAAUUACUGGGCGUAAAGCGCGCGUAGGCGGUUUUGCAAGCCAGAGGUGAAAUGCCCGAGCUCAACUUGGGAAUUGCCUUUGGGACUGUGAGGCUUCGAGGACGGAAGAGGUGAGUGGAAUUCCCAGUGUAGAGGUGAAAUUCGUAGAUAUUGGGAAGAACACCGGUGGCGAAGGCGGCUCACUGGUCCGUUUCUGACGCUAAAGCGCGAAAGCGUGGGGAUCAAACAGGAUUAGAUACCCUGGUAGUCCACGCUGUAAACGAUGAGUGCUAGGCGUCGGCAGGCUUGCCUGUCGGUGCCGCAGCUAAC
rnacentral:rRNA from 1 species